CGCCUCACCCUUCAUCAUAUACACACCUCCUUAUUUCUCCCCACUUCUAUUUCCCCCUUCGUUUCCAAUCGACUGAAACAUAUAACUCAGAUCCAAAACCCUACAUCUCAACCAAUUUCACUUCAAACAAUCAUCUCAUCAAUCACAACCAUCACACAAACGAUCAAUCACACCGGUGUAAACUGUUCCAAACCUAGGGUUUUAUGGUUAGAGUUUAGGAACGAGCGAACGAUGUGGAACAAUUCCGGACUGGAGAUGUGGAACAACAACGGAGGACCGCCGCUAGCACCGCUGGGGACUGGAGGUGUUGGUGGCUCGAUUCCGCCACUGCCGGCUGCUCAACUCCUAAGCUUGCCUUUUUCCUUCAGCCAAACCUUUGUAACAGCUUCAGGCUAGGAUUGUAUACAUUUGUUCAUACAGAAACCAAAACGUUACGAUUAAAUUAUAAAUAAAGGUGAUUCCACAAGAGAAAUUGCAAACAUUACAGGAUGUCAUGGGCAAGAAAUUGCAGUGCUAUCUAAAGUUGAAUCCCAUAAUUAUUAAAGGUAGUGUUUUGAUAUCGUCGUAGCAAAGAUGGAGUAUUUUGAUCUUGAAUGAAUAUCAAAUCUUAAGUGCAACUUAAAUAGAAAUUCCGGUUAUUUUAACGUGUAUGGUCCCUGCUGUUUUUUCUCAUGGCCAUUCAGCUUUUCUUUUUGGUUUCCUUAGGUCCCUGGGCAGUAUUUAUAUGCUUUUUGGCUGGGUGUUUGGUUGGGGUGAUUCACAAACAAUUUCUAAUCCA